CAGCAGCCGCGGGAAUACGGAGGGUGCAAGCGUUAAUCGGAAUUACUGGGCGUAAAGCGUGCGUAGGUGGUGGUUUAAGUCCGUUGUGAAAGCCCUGGGCUCAACCUGGGAAUUGCAGUGGAUACUGGGUCACUAGAGUGUGGUAGAGGAUAGUGGAAUUUCCGGUGUAGCAGUGAAAUGCGUAGAGAUCGGAAGGAACAUCUGUGGCGAAGGCGACUAUCUGGGCCAACACUGACACUGAGGCACGAAAGCGUGGGGAGCAAACAGGAUUAGAUACCCGGGUAGUCCCUGUCUCUUAUAC
rnacentral:rRNA from 1 species